rnacentral:rRNA from 1 species
AAAUUGAAGAGUUUGAUCAUGGCUCAGAUUGAACGCUGGCGGCAGGCCUAACACAUGCAAGUCGAACGGUAACAGGAAACAGCUUGCUGUUUCGCUGACGAGUGGCGGACGGGUGAGUAAUGUCUGGGAAACUGCCUGAUGGAGGGGGAUAACUACUGGAAACGGUAGCUAAUACCGCAUAACGUCGCAAGACCAAAGAGGGGGACCUUCGGGCCUCUUGCCAUCGGAUGUGCCCAGAUGGGAUUAGCUAGUAGGUGGGGUAACGGCUCACCUAGGCGACGAUCCCUAGCUGGUCUGAGAGGAUGACCAGCCACACUGGAACUGAGACACGGUCCAGACUCCUACGGGAGGCAGCAGUGGGGAAUAUUGCACAAUGGGCGCAAGCCUGAUGCAGCCAUGCCGCGUGUAUGAAGAAGGCCUUCGGGUUGUAAAGUACUUUCAGCGGGGAGGAAGGGAGUAAAGUUAAUACCUUUGCUCAUUGACGUUACCCGCAGAAGAAGCACCGGCUAACUCCGUGCCAGCAGCCGCGGUAAUACGGAGGGUGCAAGCGUUAAUCGGAAUUACUGGGCGUAAAGCGCACGCAGGCGGUUUGUUAAGUCAGAUGUGAAAUCCCCGGGCUCAACCUGGGAACUGCAUCUGAUACUGGCAAGCUUGAGUCUCGUAGAGGGGGGUAGAAUUCCAGGUGUAGCGGUGAAAUGCGUAGAGAUCUGGAGGAAUACCGGUGGCGAAGGCGGCCCCCUGGACGAAGACUGACGCUCAGGU